AGAGGGGUAGGACUGUGGCAAAUCACUGGCUUUUAAAGCCAGCAACUGGGAAUGACACAGAUUCUAUUUCUGUUCCCAUUU
rnacentral:tRNA from 1 species